GAUGAACGCUGGCGGCGUGCCUAACACAUGCAAGUCGAGCGAUUCUCUUCGGAGAAGAGCGGCGGACGGGUGAGUAACGCGUGGGUAACCUGCCCUGUACACACGGAUAACAUACCGAUAGGUAUGCUAAUACGAGAUAAUAUGCUUUUAUCGCAUGGUAGAAGUAUCAAAGCUCCGGCGGUACAGGAUGGACCCGCGUCUGAUUAGCUAGUUGGUACGGUAACGGAUUACCAAGGCGACGCUCAGUAGCCGACCUGGGAGGGUGAUCGGCGACAUUAGAACUACGACACAGUCCGAAAUCCUACGGGAGGCAGGAGUGGGGAAUAUUGCACAAUGGGCGAAAGCCUGAUGCAGCAACGCCGCGUGAGUGAUGAAGGCCUUCGGGUCGUAAAGCUCUGUCCUCAAGGAAGAUAAUGACGGUACUUGAGGAGGAAGCCCCGGCUAACUACGUGCCAGCCGCCGCCGUAACAC
rnacentral:rRNA from 1 species